GCCACAGCCCCUCCUAUCUCUACCUUCUCGUGGUACUGGCCGGAUUACGAUCAACCUUAGGGAAGACCGGGUUAACAAUUCCGGUGGGAACUUUGGUCGUAUGCUGACAGGAAAGG
rnacentral:ribozyme from 1 species